AGUGAACGCUGGCGGUAGGCCUAACACAUGCCAGUCGAACGGCAGCACAGUAAGAGCUUGCUCUUACGGGUGGCGAGUGGCGGACGGGUGAGGAAUACAUCGGAAUCUACUUUUUCGUGGGGGAUAACGUAGGGAAACUUACGCUAAUACCGCAUACGACCUACGGGUGAAAGCAGGGGAUCUUCGGACCUUGCGCGAUUGAAUGAGCCGAUGUCGGAUUAGCUAGUUGGCGGGGUAAAGGCCCACCAAGGCGACGAUCCGUAGCUGGUCUGAGAGGAUGGUCAGCCACAUGGGAACUGAGACACGGUCCAGACUCCUGCGGGAGGCAGCAGUGGGGAAUAUUGGACAAUGGGGGCAAGCCUGAUCCAGCCAUACCGCGUGGGUGAAGAAGGCCUUCGGGUUGGAAAGCCCUUUUGUUGGGAAAGAAAAGCAGCAGGUUAAUACCCCGCUGUUCUGACGGUACCCAAAGAAUAAGCACCGGCUAACUUCGUG
rnacentral:rRNA from 1 species